rnacentral:rRNA from 1 species
AGUCGAGCGGAUGAAGAGAGCUUGCUCUCUGAUUCAGCGGCGGACGGGUGAGUAAUGCCUAGGAAUCUGCCUGGUAGUGGGGGACAACGUCUCAAAAGGGACGCUAAUACCGCAUACGUCCUACGGGAGAAAGCAGGGGACCUUCGGGCCUUGCGCUAUCAGAUGAGCCUAGGUCGGAUUAGCUAGUUGGUGAGGUAAUGGCUCACCAAGGCGACGAUCCGUAACUGGUCUGAGAGGAUGAUCAGUCACACUGGAACUGAGACACGGUCCAGACUCCUACGGGAGGCAGCAGUGGGGAAUAUUGGACAAUGGGCGAAAGCCUGAUCCAGCCAUGCCGCGUGUGUGAAGAAGGUCUUCGGAUUGUAAAGCACUUUAAGUUGGGAGGAAGGGCAGUAAGCGAAUACCUUGCUGUUUUGACGUUACCGACAGAAUAAGCACCGGCUAACUCUGUGCCAGCAGCCGCGGUAAUACAGAGGGUGCAAGCGUUAAUCGGAAUUACUGGGCGUAAAGCGCGCGUAGGUGGUUUGUUAAGUUGAAUGUGAAAUCCCCGGGCUCAACCUGGGAACUGCAUCCAAAACUGGCAAGCUAGAGUAGGGCAGAGGGUGGUGGAAUUUCCUGUGUAGCGGUGAAAUGCGUAGAUAUAGGAAGGAACACCGGUGGCGAAGGCGACCACCUGGGCUCAUACUGACACUGAGGUGCGAAAGCGUGGGGAGCAAACAGGAUUAGAUGCCCUGGUAGUCCACGCCGUAAACGAUGUCAACUAGCCGUUGGAAGCCUUGAGCUUUUAGUGGCGCAGCUAACGCAUUAAGUUGACCGCCUGGGGAGUACGGCCGCAAGGUUAAAACUCAAAUGAAUUGAC